rnacentral:rRNA from 1 species
UACGAAGGGGGCUAGCGUUGCUCGGAAUGACUGGGCGUAAAGGGCGCGUAGGCGGCUUGCACAGUCAGGCGUGAAAUUCCUGGGCUCAACCUGGGGACUGCGCUUGAGACGUGUGGGCUUGAGUGGGGAAGAGGGUCGUGGAAUUCCCAGUGUAGAGGUGAAAUUCGUAGAUAUUGGGAAGAACACCAGUGGCGAAGGCGGCUCACUGGCCCGAUACUGACGCUGAGGCACGAAAGCGUGGGGAGCAAACAGG